AUUGAACGCUGGCGGCAGGCUUAACACAUGCAAGUCGAGCGGAAACGAUCCUAGCUUGCUAGGAGGCGUCGAGCGGCGGACGGGUGAGUAACGCGUAGGAAUUUGCCCAGUAGUGGGGGAUAGCCCGGGGAAACCCGGAUUAAUACCGCAUACGCCCUAUGGGGGAAAGCAGGGGAUCUUCGGACCUUGCGCUAUUGGAUGAGCCUGCGUCGGAUUAGCUAGUUGGUGGGGUAAAAGCCUACCAAGGCGACGAUCCGUAGCUGGUCUGAGAGGAUGAUCAGCCACACCGGGACUGAGACACGGCCCGG
rnacentral:rRNA from 1 species